rnacentral:sRNA from 1 species
CUUAAAUUUUUCUUAAGUUUUGCUUAAGUUUUGCUCAAGUUUUUCUUAAGUUAGAAAGAACUUUUGGGUUCGUCAUUUCUUUUCUGAGAGGGAAUUAAAAAGUCAAAUUUGUUCUUGCUUUUUAGCUGCUGUUCAAAUUCAGAAUCUUGUCUUCUUCUCUCUCAAUUUGUUCCAUAGAUCUAAUCAGUUGAAAUAAUGAAUCUGAAUACUAUAUAUAUAUAUAUAUAUAUUCUAAUAUAAUACAAUGAUGUUUGCAUAUACUUUUAAAAGACCCUGACAAGAAGAGAAACUAGUAACACAUCAAACUUUAAAGAAUUUGUAAAGAAAUUUAAGACUCAUUGCAGAGAAGAGAAGCACAAAACCUCGUAGUAAACCUUGAUGAGGAAAAGACCUUGAUAGGCGUAGAACACAGUAGAGGUGGAUCGACAUAUUUAACUCUUGUAAGACAAAUCGAAGCACUGUAGAAACAAAGAAAAAGGUGCAAUGUAAAGCUUUUAUCAUAUAAAAUAACACAAAGCUUUACAUCAAAUCCGAGAACUGUUGGAGAAGCUUUGACAUAAGCUUCUUCAUUCACAUCAAACAGUGUCCUAUGAAUUGCAACUCCUGACAAAGGUUGCUUUCGAUGAGAUUUUCCCUCUUGAAUUGACACAAGAGUCACCAAAACAUCAACAAGUUUCCCAUUUCUCACAAGAAGAUCAUGAAAACAAAUGUCUGAAGAUGAAGAUGAAUGUGAUACAACUGUGUUCUAGAGAUAACUUGUAGGAAACAACAUUUAUAAAGUUGGUGACUGAUGAUCAAAACCUAGAAACAUAGGCACAAAGCAUAUAAAGAUAUGGUGAUCAUUAGCAUUAACAUUCCUUUCACACACUUCCGUGACUUGUUGGUUUAAGUGUUUCUAAAUCUAGAAAUCCAAUUGGGAGCCAAAAGAAGACUAUGAUGUGGACAUGUGACCUGCGUUUGCCAAAAACGUACCUUUUACUAACCCAAAGUCCAAUCACAUUUGGGUCAUUGGACUAUUCAAUUGCAAUUGAAACCCAACACAAAGUCCAAAACACUCAUAAAGUCU